rnacentral:lncRNA from 1 species
GGGGGGGGGGGGGGGUAGGAACAAACUUUUUUGACCCCAUGCCACAAAAUGGUCCGGCGACCGACCGACCGACCGACCGACCCCCCCUACCGUACGACCCCCCAAAACCCCCUCAGAACCCCUUAGUUUUUUGUCAGGUUGGUGCCAAUUGACUGCUCUCGGUGAGAUCUAUCGCUAUGCAAAAUGAUCCGCCUUGGGAACACACUUUGACCGACCGACAUGUGGACAUGUGGACAUGUCACCCGUCCGCCGACAAGUGUCCUGACAGACUGGCCUGCUAUGCAACGGCUUACUCCAAUGUUACUUGAUAGUACGAAAUGAGCUGACGCGUUCAUCCAUGCAAAACCCGCCCGGCACCGGCCUGUCCCUGGCCCGUUCCCCAGGCAUCUUCCAAAAUGCUGACAUGCCGCUCCCCACAGUACCCCAUACUAUGCAUGUGUGCUAAGUCUGGGGUAUACCUACGCACGCCUCGUUGAGCUGCACCCAUUGUGCCGCGCGCUGCAGGACAGAAGCGCUAGGAACAAAACUUGGCACGAACCUGUGCAAAACCUCUUGGGACCCCCCGACCGACCGACCGACCGGCCACUUUGAGGGGUCAUAACUUUGCACCCAGAAACCCAUUUUCAAUUUUGAAAGCGGAUUCGUGAUUUUCUCCUUGAGCUCUAUCCAUUUGAGGCAUGGGGUCUGUUUCGGAAGAUUCUACCCCCCCCCUGCACCGCCCAUUCCCACGCCCUCGCCCGUGCGUCCAUGGAUUCACCAACUACUGGACCCCCGGAACCGAACCCUUUUAUGCACGCCCUUUAUGAUGUCUGGUUGAUGCGCAGUCCUUAGGUUCCGGGCAUGUGACCAGGCGACAGCACCAGACACACACAGACACACUGCGACGCCACGCAGGGCAGGCAAAACGGGCCGCUGUGCGUGCUAGGGGCUGCACCCACGGGCUGCACCGUUGAGUAUGUGCAUGAUAGGGGGCCAUUUAUCAUGGCUGAGGAGGCUUUUGUAGAAUACAGGGCCGUCUGUGGCAUUGAUUGGGCUACAGAGGCUUCCUGCGCGUCAGCCUGUCCUGAUACCCGUGCUCAGUGUGGCCGGCUCAGCGUCAUACUCGAAAGAUUUAAGGCACACGUCCGGGGCGUGACGGGUCCAUAGCCCAUGCACCUGGUCUACCAUUAUGCUAGGAGAAGCAUCUUGGACAGGGCGCACGCGUGGGGCGCACGAGUAAGGAUAUUCCUGCCUAUUGUCAUCACCGGGGACGAGGGAAAUCGCGGGGCGGGGGCAGGGCUCCUAUCUUAAUGUCUCCAGACAUUUUCCGGCUCUUUUGGCCGUUUCCUAGACAUUCCUCCCGGGGGCUGGGGCGAGACACUGUUGGCCCGGGUUUGGGGCGGGUUUUGUCCGAAUUACUUUGGAGAGGCCCUCAAACCGCCAUGUGCCCAGACGAAAGUUGGCGGCCACGCGGCCGUUUUUGUCUGGAGCUAGACCCCCAAAACAAGAUACGACCCCUGGGCGGGGGGCAGGGGGGGGGGGGCAGACACCCCGCCCCUGCCGCGUGUCACUGCAAUGGCGUCCGUUAGCACCUGAGAGUCCACACCUCCAAAAAGGCAAUUCCUUACGACCUUUCAGACUUUGCUGCAAAUUGAAACUCACAGCUCGGCCUGUCUCGCUACAACUCGAGGCCCAGCUUCAGGAACGUUGACUGCAGCACUCUGCGCCUAUGUUGCCUACGUUCCAUUAAAUGCAAAAACGAACUUACUUUCAAUGGCUUUUAGAUUAGGAAGGGGUGUUCGGGACCGGCUCUGAGGGGCGAGCAGCAGCAAACAGCCAGGGCGCGGCGCUCACAGCGUUUUGCGCGCUGAGGAGGGCUCGCCGUAAACCAUGAACAACUACCAGUAAGCUGGAUUGGGGCUGUUAGCGCAGGGGGCUUGCAGCACCACAAUGCGAAAGGCGCGAUCGCUUGAAGGCGUCGCCCAAGCGCUCUCUGACCGCGGACUGUAUUUCCGGUAUACAGUAUUUACGAGAAGAUUGGCUUUGGGAAGGCGUCGACGUGCUACAAGGGGCGGAAGAAGAAGACUAUCAGCUAUUAUGCUAUUAAGUCGGUGGACAAAACCCAGAAGGCGCGAGUGCUGCAGGAGGUGCGUGGGGCGGGCACCUAAGGUGUCGUGACAGGGCUUCAGACCGCAGCUGUCCAUCAUCGUGUGCAUGUCUUGGAACAGGUGCGCACUAUGCACGCGUUGGACCACCGCAACAUCCUCAAGUUCUACGCCUGGUGAGUUCGUUGCGCUUCUGGCAACCCUAGGUAGCUGGAUGCCGCGACAGCAGCGCCUGGUCAGGCGUUCGUGCUUGUGGGAUGCGGGAAGGGGUUGCUGAGGUUAUGGUCUGGCCGUCCGCCAACGAGACGGCGGUCGCGGAGGCGAUGUUCGGCAGGAUGGGACCUACCGAGUGUCGCCUCUGGGCGGCUGCGCCGCUGCAUGAUGCAACGUGGGGGCAGCUGCAGCGGCCUGCCCUUGGGCGUGUGCAGACCUCCCACCUGAUGCGCACACGCAUGGACCUGCAGGUAUGAGACGACCAACCACCUAUGGCUCAUCCUGGAGUACUGCGUGGGAGGCGACCUCAUGUCGCUGUUGCGGCAGGACGUGCGCCUGCCUGAGAGCUCUGUGCACGACUUUGCUCGCGACCUGGUCACCGCGCUGCAAUACCUACACAGCAAGGAGAUUAUCUACUGCGACGUGAGUGCGGCAAAGCAGUUCGCUGUCGACGUUGUGCAACCUUUCGUUAUGCAUGGUCCAAGCGGUGACACGGGGUUCUCAUCACGGGUUGGGACUUUCCUAAGCCAGGCACGCCACCAUGCACCCGUCCUCACCUGACUGUCCCCGCGCAGUUGAAGCCCUCCAACAUUCUCCUGGAUGAGAAUGGGCGCAUGAAGCUUGGCGGGUUUGGCCUGUCGCGCCGCCUGGCCGAUAUCAACAAGAAGCCGCUGCAGGCGCUGCCGCAGGUCUGGAUGUGGGAGACAGGGGUGGAACGACAGGGGGGUGCAUGCGCGAGAGGAUGUUGCAGAGUAUGCAGCCCCAUGACCUGCACAGACGUUCGAAACUGUGGCCAUUGGGUUGGCUGCAACAUGCAACCCGCAGGCCAUGCGCGGCACGCCCUGCUACAUGGCCCCGGAGCUGUUCUCGGAGGGUGCCACCCACUCCACCGCCUCCGACCUGUGGGCGGUGGGCUGCGUGCUGUACGAGUGCUCCAUGGGCCGCCCGCCCUUCCUCAACUCCUCGCUGAACCAGCUCAUCCACGAAAUCCUGAACAACGAGCCGCAGCCUAUUACAGGUGGGGCGUUCGGGACCAUGAGUUAGGACUGGCGCAGGGAAGGCGCACGCGGAUAUGCAUUGGCAGUCAUUCGCAGGUGUGCGGCACGGGGCUGGUCUUACGAAAGCUCUGCGUUGCCCUCUUCCCAGAUGCCCUCUCCGCGACUGUCCCCUAAUCUGCCGUUUGACCGGCUCCGGCCACGGCAUGUGUGCAGGCGCGAGCGCGGAAUACCAGGAAAUGAUCUCGCGCCUGCUGGACAAGAACCCCGCCACGCGCAUCAAGUGGAGGGUGAGGAUGGCCCAGUGGGGAGGGGGACCGCAGCCAAGGCCGGUGCUCUGCGAAUGUACCGAUUGGGGCAUUUGCCAAGUUCGCGGUGGCGGCGUGAUGAGCACGCAUUUGGGGCUUGCCGUCGCAGGAGCUGUGUGCGCACCCGUUCUGGCAAGUGCGGCUGCCGACGCUGGACCUGCCUCCGGAGCCGGCGCUGGAGGCGUUCAUUGCGCGCUACAACCUGGCGCCCACUGUGGAGGAAAUGAGGCAGUCCACGCGCGACGGGCUCAAAGUGAGGGCGCUGGGCAGUAAUAGCUGCUUUGGGCAGGGUAGCGCCCAACAGCAGCAGUUGUCUUUUGCCUCUCCCCUGUACGCUGGCAAGCCCCCACCGUUGCGUCCUACUUUGCCCGGGCUCCAUGUCGCCGCCGCUGACCUUGCCACGCGUCCCACCGCGCAGCUGGACAAGGGCCGCGUGAUGCGGCAGAGCGUGGACAUCACGCGCCUGUCGCGCAUCGCACAGCACAACCUGGAGCGCGAGGGCGAGGGCGCCGACUACAGCAGCGCCGUGGGCGGCGCGCCGGCGGCGGAGGCGCAGGCGGGCGACAUCCGAAUCGACUCGGCGGACGCGGAGCUGGACUUUGAGGAGAACCGCGAGGAGGGUGAGCCGGUCCGCGGUGUGGUGGUGGAAAAUGGGAAUGCCUAGAUUGCAGCGCUCGAGCAGCAUGCGUCGGUAGUUAUGUAUCGUAAACUUUUCUGCGCGUCUGCCAUUGCUUGGCCAGCCAUGUGUGCUGACGGCGCCCCCUUGUACCGGUACACGCUGCUGCAGCCGUGGAUGAGGAGACGCCGGUCUCUCCGGCACCCAGUGAUGAUGGCAUGGUGAUCGACCAGGGCUCGGGCACCCCGCUGUCGGAUGGCGGCCGCAUGAUCAGCGCCACCGCCAAUGACGCCAUGAUGGCGCGCGCUGCGGCGCACCAGGGGGCGCACGGCGCGCACAACGCGCCCGCCACGGCGCGGCGCGGCGCCGCAGACGGCCCGUCGGCUAGCAGCAUGGGCCCCUCGGCGGCGGGGGCGCGGCCGGUGACGCGCGGGGAAGACCGGUCCGCGGCUGCAGCGGGGGCGAGCGGCCGUGCCGCGGAGGCGGAGGCAGCUGCUACGGCAGCGGCUGCGGGCGCGUCGGCCAUGGACGACGACCUUCUGGUGGAGACGGGGCCCAUGGUGACGGACCGGGACUCGGCAUCGCUGGAGGAGCUGAUCUGGCACCCCUCGGACACGGCAGUCAAGCCCAUCGUGGCGAAUCGCCGAAUAGGUGCGUGGUGCGGCUGUUGGCGGACGGGCGCGGAUAUGCUUGGAGGGUGUGGGACCGGGUCCACAGCUUACAGGGUGCCGCGGGCAAUGGUAUGAUGCGUGCGGGCGGCGCAAGCUUAUGCUUUCGUCCGUUCUCUGCAGAGCGAUUGCCGGACCCGCGCUUCGACGCUGCCAGCCUGCCUUUUAAGCCGUGGAGCCUGCCGGAGAUGCUCAAUGCCAACCAGGCUGACCUGGAGGCCUUCCUCACACACAUCUACCGCGCCAUCGCCAGCGCCGCGCCGCUCAAGGUGCGCAAGUCGCGGGGCACGUGCGCGCUGGGCUGCGCUUCAAUGGCAGUGUGUGCGCAAGUCCGAAUGCAGUAGAAGACAAACAUUUACACUCUUUCUUUGACGGACGUGCACCCUGCAGGACAAGGUGAAUGUGCUCAGCUACUUUGAGACGCUGUGUGUGGACACCAACGCCGCCAACGUCCUCAUCAACAGCUCCCUCACCAUCCUUUUCAUCCGCAUGCUGCGCAACGCACGUGCCCCCACGCUACGUAUCCGCCUCGCCAGCGUGCUCGGUGAGCUGAGCAUGCGGGUGAACGCCACAGCAUAGCCACGCCAGCCACCUCGCGUGCUUGCAUCGCUGUCCAUAUGCUGCGCGCCUUAUUACACGGCAUUCAGACUGUGCCUCUCCUGGCCCACCUGCACCUGGUGCCUUACUGUCUGCACAGGCCUGCUGGUACGGCACGCGACAUACAUUGCGGAGGAGCUGGCGAGCACGGGCGUGGUGGAGGUGCUCAGUGAGGCGCUAAAGGUGGGGCUCCGGUUGCUCUGGAGUGUUCCAGGGCGUGAGCUCAGUCGCAACAUGGCGACGGGUUGACGGAGCAAGAUGCGCUGCAAAGCUAGGACAUUCAGCGCACCUGUCCCGCCCAGCAACACGCAUGCAUGCUCUUGGCGCUGUCUGUCUAACACAUGCAUGCGUUGACACGUAUGUUGCAGGAUAAGAACGAGCGCGUGCGGCGGCGCGUGAUCGCCACGCUGGGCGAGCUGCUGUUCUACAUCGCCACGCAGCAGCAGGACAACGCGGCGGCGGCGGCGGGCAACGGCGGCGCGCCGCCGGCUGACCCUACCGUGGUGUGGGGCAUCUCCAGCAACACUUACGCGCAGGUGAGAGCCGCAGCUCGCGACGGCGAUGCGUGGGCGGAUGGGGAAGUCCCGCGCACUAAGUACCCGCAGCCGUAUCAAACAGCACGAUAGUGGGUGCUAGCCGUACGAAAGCGCACGUCGUGGCCGAGCUGGAUCAAAACCAACUGCCAGAGCUAGCUUUAGAGCCAUGUGUCACACCCCUGCGCGUUGCCACCGCCACCACACCGUUCCCUGGUCCAGGUGAUGCGGCUGCUGAAGGACAAGGAGGAUGAGGUGGCGGCGCACUACGCGGUGAAGACGGUGGAGAACAUCUGCAGCCAGGGCGGCGAGUGGGCGCAGCGCUUCGCCACGCAGGACGUGGUGCUCAGCCUGGUGCAGCUCAUCAACGCCACGGGACGCAGCGAGCAGCUGCGAGCCACUGCCGCGUCCACACUGGCGCGCCUGCUCAGGUGCGCACGGCACCCGCGCCACCCAACGCGCCAUGUCGUUCCUGCCCCUCGGCAAGCGCUCUGCCAGGCUGAGCGCGGCAGUUCAGUAUUGCUGUUUUGUUACCGACGCACUCCCCGCCUGCUGCUUUGGCCCCCCGCUCACCGCAAUGACCCCUGCCGACCACAGGCACAGCCCGACGCUGGUGGCGCACACCGUGGAUAAGUACGGCAUCCGCCUCUUUGUGGGCUGCCUACUCGAAGGCACCGCCGCCUCGCCCUCCUCCGCCGGCGGCACCAGCGGCGGCGCCGGCAGCGGCGCGGGCGGUGCCAGCGCCAAGGUGCAGACCGCCGCGCUGAACCUGAUCAACCUGACGCUGGCGCAGCCGGACCUGUCCACGCGUGCUCGGGCCUCGCUGGCGGAGGAGCGCGGGCUGCUGCCGGGGCUGAUCGCGCUGAUGGACCACUCCAUGCCGCUGCUGCGGGCCAAGGCGGUGGUCACGGUCAUGCUCCUGAGCAGGUGAAAUGGGAAGGGUGCUGCGACGACGGCGACGAGGAGGUGGCAUUGUGCACUGGGUGUGGUGGCUGGGGGUUUGGGGAUGCCGGCGGGUUUCCAUGUAUUCAUACAGAGGGGCGUGGUGUAUGAAAUGCUUGGUGCUUGGACCUGAGGUUUGUUUAUUGAUUCGGUUUGUCGGCUGUUCGCGCGCAGGCUGUCUCCGCGCUGGCUGCUGGAGGCGUGCAAGGCCAAGCUCAUCCCCGCUGUGGAGCGCCUCACGCGCGACAAGGACGACUACCAGGUACGGAGGUGUGGAAAUUUUAGAGAAACGCUUGGGAGCUGUACUGCCUCUGCUGCCGCAAGUAAUGAGAGAGCCUUGACACUGCGCGACGUUGUUUUGGGAAUUGGGAUACCAGUACUCAUCCUUGGUUUGACCACGGAAUCUUUUCAAUCACACGCAGAGCCGCGCGCUGGCUGCGCUCCGGGCAGAGGCUGCGCGCCUCACGCCCGCCAUCUGCGCGUCCAUCACCGAAGAGCUGGGUGGCCGUGGCAGCGCUGGAGGCGUGCGCCGCAACUCCGGCAUCGCCGGCGCGCGGCCGGCGCCCGCCAAGUCGCCACUGGCGCUCUUCCCGGUCAUGCUCCACCUGCUGACCAGCCCCUACUUCCGCAGCGCGGUGGUGUCGGGGCAGUUGGUGGCGGAUCUGGCCAGCUGGCUCAGCAUCACGGCGGGCCCGGCGGCGGGCGGCGCCAUCGGCGGCGGCGCGGGCGGCUCACUGACGUCGUCCGCCAACUCGUCAGGCGCAGCGCUUUUGGCGGAAUUUAAGACCACGCUCAUGCACGUGCUCGAGGUGGGGCAAGUGGACCUGGUUGCUUUCGUGUGGCGGCCUACCUUCAUCCUGACCGGGACGGUUGGGCCCAACAUUGCCUGUCUUUGCGCACGCCUUAGUUGCCAUGUUGCAUUCCACUGCCAACGCGGCACACCCACCGCUUGCCAGCUACCACUCACCGGCACAACCACCCCUUGCUACACACCUGUGCAGGCGCUGUGCCAGCAGGGCGAGCUGGUGCUGCAGCACUACGCCGGCGUGCUCAACACGCUGCUGCCGGCGCUGUGCGGCGUGGUCAGCGCGGAGGCUGAGGGCGGCGACACGCGCUUCUUCUGCCUGCGCAUGGUGUCGGACGUGCUGCAGACGCUGCUGCUGGACGAGGAGCUGUACGGCAGCGCGGCGCAACGCGCCGAGGGCAGCGCGGCGGGCGGGAACGUGGGCGUGGCGGCGGCGGCCAUUGACUGCGUGCUGCGCUCGCACAUCCUGCCGCUGGUGCCGCGGCUUCUGAGGGACGAGGACCCCAUGCCGUUGUACGCUCUCAAGGUAGGGGGCUGCGCCGCCGCAUGCACCAUUCGUGGAGCAUACCUCUGGACGCGCAAUGCAACACCGUGCGUAUCGCCCAUCACAUCCACGCCUAGCUUUCCUCCAUGCGCCAUAGUAUCGAUCGCAUGUUGCCAGCUGACUGUGUUGUGUAACAUAUGUUCUUGUGGCCGCUCCCGCGCCGGGCGCAGCUGCUGGGCGGGCUGCUGGAGAUCAACCUGUCCUACGUGGCGGACGUGGAGGCCAUGGGCCUGGCGGCGCAGUUCUUCGAGUUCCUGUCGCUGGAGCACUCCAACAACAACGUGCACAACAUCCGGUUGUGCCGCCAGAUCAUCGCCGCCGGCUCCAUGCCCGUCGCGCAGCUGGUGCAGCUGCAGGUUGCGGAGAAGGUGCGUGCCUACGUGGUGGCUGUGGCGGCGGCGUGUAUCCAUGCCUCCAGCUUAUCCCUUUUGUGCAUAACGUUUGAAGUGGGCACCAGUGGCACAUAUUACGAGUUCAGCGUGUGGUACCGUAUGUACGGUAGUGUCAGCUCGUGUUCGAAGAAAGGCGCGGAUCAAAUGCGGGUGCUUAACCCUAUGCCGCGGCUCCCCUUCCGACCAUUCAGGUGGCUGCGGUGCUGGAGUACGCGACCAACAACGCCGUGGAGCCCUUCCUGGAGCCGGUGCUGGAGCUGGUCAACACCAUACUGCAGCGGGACGCGCUGGAGGUGGGUGCAGACAGCUGGGGAUGGCUGGGGAUGGGGGCGGGAGGUGGGGAAGGGCGGGAUGCGACGGGUUGGUGCGGGGCGGGAGGCGAAGCGCGCACGGGGCUCCCGUUGGGCUUGCCUUACGCCGCCGGCUUGCUCUUACCCAGCCGCACCUUCCCCCUCACCCGACACCCAUCACACACUGACACGCGCACACCUUCCGGUCGCAGGUGUCUCAGAACCGCUCCGACGGCGCGCUGGCCGCCGUGUUCCUGGAGCAGGCGGGCGUGCUGCUGGACAACUGCGCCCAUCCUGACCUGCCCGUGUCCUCCUCCGCCGCCAGCGCCACCUCCAGCCUGGUGGCGCUGUUCCCGCAGCAGUGCGCACCCUGGCUGCUGGCGCCAGAGAACGCCACAGCGCUGGCGACCGUGCUGGCGGGGCAGCACAUGCUGCAGCAGCCGGGGCAGCAGCCCGGCAACUCGGCUGCGGCGGUGCCGCCGUCGCUGGCGCAGCCGCUCCUCGAGGCGGUGGCCACAGCCCUGGAGGUGAGUGCGUGCGCUGUUCGGGUUCGGUGCUGGGAUACCGUAGGCCAGCCAACCUGUGCUCAUGUGCAAGGUUAGCACGCGACUGUCUACGCGAGGGCUUCAUGCGGACCGAGCACUCAUGGGUGAUGUGGAUAUGCCGCAGGUGCCGGGUGCGGCCGCGCCGUCGGAGGAGCUGGUGCAGCUGUACGAGUCGGUGCGGCAGUCGGCGUCGGCGUCGGCGGACGCGGGCGUGCGCAGCCUGGCGGCGGAGGUGGCGGGCUCGCUGGGGGCGGUCAUGCACUGAUGGCGUAUGAAGGUGUUUGCUUGGUGGCGAUGGCGGGUAGCUAAGGGUCGAGGAUGCGUGCGACUGGUUGUAGAAGCCGUGCGUGCGUGGCUGGGCCUUCAGCCUGGGCAUGCUCCAUAGGGUUGCGCGCUGGGAUAUCGCACCGGUACGGUAUGAUGAUGGGGUGGAGGCCAAGGUCCUGAAGAUGGGUGAGUGGACAGGCGUGACGUUGAUAUGAGCAACUGUGCAUGCAGAGCGAUACCAGCGUGGUGUGCUGGUAUCUUGCUUUCAUGGAGUGGAUUACCGUAGUGUGGACAAGCGCGACUUGAUUGUCGGCUGCAUGGACCCACGUCAAGCGGGCUAGGAUAGAUGGAGGUUGUAGCUCACGAGUCACGACCCAUGCCUUGGCAAGGAAGUGCAUACUGACUGGCCCUCUAAAUCAAGCUGUAUCCUGAUGUCAUUUGCUGGUUUACCUGUUAGUAACGCCUGAGCUUGCCUCAAAGUCUCCGAGCUACUGGUGCAGGCGAACACCCGCUGCUGCAGGGUGGCUACGUACGGUUGGCUGGGGGGAGGCCGGGCACCUCUUAUUGGGCCUGCCAUGUUGAUCUAUUCCGGAAAUAAGUAGCCCUGGCAUGGCGGAACCCGGUGGCACUGUCGAGUUCCUGCUGGCUCUGUUAUUACUCCCGCCUUGCUUCCACAAGUGCAGGUCGACGAAGGGCCGCAGCUGUCUCGCUCGCUCGGUACGGCGCCGCGCCCAUGACCUGCGUCACGGCUGCGUGGAAGUGCAUCGGUGUCGGUGUGCAUGUGUCUUAGUCAGUGUGGGCGCAGGUGGUGGUGUGCGUAUGUCAGUAUGUGUGAUGAAAGCACACAAGGGGAACUUGUAGCUACGGGGGUGUCUGUCCAUCCCCUGACGUGCCCCUGUGGCCGCUAGAUCAGGCCCGGGGCUGAGGGGCUUGAUGAUUUGCGUGGACAUGACACAUACAUACACCUGUAGUCAACCUUUCCAGUACGCCUUUAGUGGUAGCUGCCGGACCUACCUCAACAGCUAGGGCAUUCAUCCCUUCCAAUUCUGUGGUGAUAAUGGCAGGAAUGGACUGACGCAGAAGCUGAAGAGCAUUGAGGCCUUUUGGGGCUGAGCCCCCCAUCCAGGAACACCCGUGCGCGCGACUAUACCUCACGAGUGUGACGUUGCGGUACGUGUGUGUGUGUGUGUGUGAGGGUGUGUGUGUGUGUGCGUGUGUGUUAUUUUGUCACUACGACCAUCUGCUGCCGGUUUGUGCCUAGCUCAGGCUGUCCGCUGAUACUAUGUCGCGUAACACGAGGCGCUCCCGCAUGACUGCUGUUGCUGGCUGGCGCCGUGCAACUAGCUGAGCUGAGAGGCCCCUGAUACGCAGCAGAGUGUGGAUGGAGAGGGCAUCGCAUCGGACCGAGUGGACUGCCGUCGCAGUCCUUCGCUGUAGGGGUUAUGUUUCACCCGCUACUCGACGUCAAAUGUGCUAGGCUUGACUGCCGCUGAACACGCCCGGCCUCCUCGCGGUCACAGGUGAUCAGUCGAGGUCACAGACACAUUAGCCAUACAUGUACUGUAGUGCCAAUCUGGAGUUGACGAGUGUUGCGGUACUAAUGCGUACGUAAUGAGUAUCAGCGGACAGCGCUGAUACUAGGCGUCACUGUCAGCUAAGUGCGCCCCAACAACCGUACGGCAAGUCUCAUGCUCGCCAAGUAACGCACACGCACACCAACCCUAGCCUACACACGUCAACCUGUGGCCUGCACUGACCCGUACGCCCUGUGACGGCGACAUGCACUGCCGGCAGAUUGACUUGACAAUUUGUGUGUAUGUGUCGGGUGCACUGGUCAGGUCGCACGCACGCCUGGUCAUCAGCAGCACAGGUGUAGUAGUGGCGCCUUACCUGACGUCCGUAGGGUGUGCACUGCGCAAGGAGCAACUCGGAGCUUUCGAAGGAUUUCGAGCGGCAGGGCUGAAGCUCCGAUGGAAAGGAGGGGCGGGCAUUUCGUGCCAAGGCACCUAGUCACCUAGGCUAACGGGCUAGCAGUAGAUGGAGUUAAGAGGUAUAGUCGAACAUACAUGCCUAACUUCGUUGCACAAAGUGGGUUUCCUGGCGUUAUAUAGGGCCAACCUGGGCCAACCGGCGCGCGGCCCGCGCCACCGAUAUUUAUCCGCCUGUGCUGCUGGCUGGUACUGCCCGCCGCUGCGGCGACCGGCGAACUGUAAACCUUUGGGCCUAGCGAGCCUACUUGAACGCCUUCGUUGUAUCCCACGGCUGUAUCAUUCAACAUAUCAAGCACUGGCCUGCUGCGCCGCGCACGUGCUCUUGAACUCCAAACCGCCGCUGCUGCGUGAGGCCAGAGUAGGAAGGUGACACAAGGCGAUGCCAAACAUCUGUAAAUUAUAUUUGUAAAGAUAGCCGAACCACGGCAAACUAAGCCCCUAGGGGUUUACGGCUAGGGUUCCAUGGGUGCCAGUUAGGGACUUGCCCUCACCGCCAAGAUUCCCUUGCUCUGCGGCUGCCGCCCCUUGCCACGUAAACAUGAUAUUUUAGCGCGUACCUUCUACAUAGCUCAGUCGACUUACCGGCCAGGGCAUUUCACGACGCGCGGCCGAGCGAUUGCACGUUAGUUUGCCGGCCAAGAGCCGCCAGGAGCCCGCUAACUCAUAAAUAGUCCAAUGGAUAUACAUUUACACUGAUGCUCGUCAUUAUCCAGUGAGCACUAGGAGCGCCAAAGCGGCGCGAAACAGAAGCAGGAGGCGUGGCGCCUGCUUUCAAAGCCUGUGGAUAUGAUGCAAUGCGUCUAAAUAUUGAUAGCACGCAAAGUACAAAUUAUCAACUGUGGUGGUGUCUCGCCUUGCUUUGUGAGCGAGAGCAAGCUGCCCGCGCACGUCGACUCUUUUUGCCCAGUGUGUGCAUUUAGCGAAGCAAGGAACACAGGCACGCUUGUACUUCGCUAGCAGAGCGGGCUAGCGGCCUGGCGAGGGCGAAACGGACUUGGAAAUGGACUGUGAACUUACAGGAGGUGAGUUGGGCAUAUUUAAUUGCUGAUGUUCUACUGUCUUCUGUAGAUUUGAGCUGCGGCGUGCAGAUCGUUGGUCACGGAAGGCGCGUGUUUAUUUCAGCGCUCUCCACCCUGCGCUUUGCAGCAGAUAAUGGCAAAUGUAAUCUGGAAGCUCCCGAUCUCUGUCCUGCUUAAUCCCCCUGAGGCAGUAGGCUAGGAAGCGCAGUCCUGUCGCUAAUGCUAUGUCGUGUUUUUGCAGACGCCCUCGCGCCGAGACCUCAAGGCACUCAGGGCGUCCGCUUUCUUGACUCCAUGAUCAGAUAUCCGUCCUUCAUGGUGUGUAUGCCGACAAAAGGCGCGGUCCGGACAGCGACUCAAGCUGACGCGUGAAUGUGUGCGCUCGGAUUGCCCGCCCGUUCUGAAAUUGGCGUGUUCAUUCAUUGCAGGACACGGGCGAUACAUUUGACAGCAUUGCUGCUGGCCUGCCCAUGCUUGACUUUGGCGGUGAGGCGGCUGCUGCGAAAGCAAGAUGCGCUAGCCGAGUCCCACGUGCGCGUGGUCGUUACCCUAUGGCACCCAAACGAUCGUUACGAUCGCUGUUACCUAGGUCGUAGAUCGUUACCCCUCCGGCAUCGUUACGAUCUCGCUACGAUCUGCUUACCAUCUUAACCAGCCAUGGUAACAGCCUCGUCACGGUCUACAAGGCACACCAGUAACCAUCACUUUGAGGCCCGUUACAUGGCAGCCUUGUGCUUUGCUGAAGGCCUACAUCAGUACUAAAGUAAGAACUAUGUAGUCCUACCGCUACUCCACAUGCUAGCCAUCUGUCAAGGCUUGAUAGCACGACAAGUGCAGAUGCUCAUGCAACACUUAUGCAACACUACCGCAAGUCCAUACGUACAUGCAACAAUACGCCAAGUCCCUAUCGUCUGCGUGUGAACGUGCAACUAGCCACUGGCAGCAACCACUUGCAUGUCUGCUGGGCACAACAUCUCCGACCCACCACCUUGACGCCCGCCGCCACCACAGCUACCAUGCCAACUAUGCCACUGGCGCCGCCGCGCCUGCCUCCAUCUUUAGCACCAGACAGCUGGUGUCAAGCUGGCUCCUGUAGUUUUGCUUCCACCGGCAGCGCCUGCAUGCACGCGUGCACACACAUAGACACACCCAGUUAAUUGUCUGCCACAAGGUGGGCAGGUGCCAAUGCAUGUCAAGGCCAGCCAUGGACAGAGUGCUUGGCAGUGCACGGGGCCUACCACACAAGGCGCGUCUGUGUGCACAUGUGCAUGUGUGUGCGCCUACACGUGUCACGGACACUCACCGUUGAUGAGCACAAUGCUGGAGGUGUAGGGGCAGUCCAGCCAACCGUACGGUCCAGAGGGGACAGAGGGGUUGGGCAGCAAGCUGUGGCGGGGCAGGGUGUGUGCGUGUGGAGGGGAGGGGUGGUAUGUGAGACACAAGGCACCGUGGCAAGGGAGCCAUAAAAACACCUUACAGCGAGCGCUAGUAAGGGAGGCAGCAGACAGUCACUAGUUGAAGGCGCAACCCAACACAGCGCGAGAAGUUGAACCAUGCACACUGGCUUGCUAGGUACCACUAGGUUCAACGCAUCCCAUCGUCAUUCAACCUGCGGACUAACCUGCGGACUAUGGCGUGCGGGGCGAGGGUGAUGUUGACAGAACGCGAUGUUGAAUGGCGUUGUUGACGCCGGCGACCGAGACUUCUCGGUCGGACAUUUGAAGCGCAGCUGAUAGAUCAUGAGGCAUAGUCGUUUCUCUCACGUAAUAGCUGGCUGCAGCUGACGUGUGAGCAGCGUCGCCAAGCCGGUCAACGAGCGGUCAGCAGCGUGAGGGCUCGCGUCCCAAGCCAGCCAAGCAGCGUCUGCCGCCAGCUCUUGUUCUACUGACAUUUGAGCUACCAUAAAUUUGUGUUUACGAAGAGAAGUAGCGAGGGCGAGAGAGCAAACGGGGGGAGAGGAACAGAAGUGCAGCGGCACCGGCAUGAAGUGCAGUGUAUCAGUAUAUGUAUGGUACUAUAUCAGUAUAUGUAUAGUAGUAUCAGGGGCCGCUCUAUGCAGCUUAUUAAGUCAGGCCCGCGAGAACCCCAUGCAGGAACCCUGUUACCCGUCGCAAAGGCCCCGUUACCCCUUGCUUAGGGUCGUUACCACGCCCAAGGGCCUGUGUCACAAUGUCACACAGUCGGCCUACAGCCCCCAUACUUCCUCGUUCGCGAGCGCAACGACUACAUAAGUUUAAGGCUUCACAUAUUAGACUGUUUUAACACAAACUGUCACUACAAUACGCACUUUGCAGACUAGAAUGUCGGCAUGUUCACUUGCCAGCGACGAAAGGCACUCCGCCCAGUCCGCAAUGUGCGCAUGUAUGACAAGUAGCUAAGAGGUGACCACAGCACCGCUCGGCUUGCGUCCUGGGCGUGCCACGCCGUGCGGGCCCGAAACAAUCGUUACCCCCUGUUCGGGGAUCGUCACCCCCGUUUUUGGAUCGUUACCACCAUUUGGGUGCCAUAGGGUUAGGUUGUAAGCGUACCUAAGAUUGCCAGUGUUGAUCUCACUGUUGUGCGACAGUGGUGAUCGCAUUAUUGUACGUAGACGCCCAGUACCCACUUACUUACCCCAGCCGCUCAGUACGUAGCCAACCGCCCUGGUCGGGCUGUGCCGGUUUCUUGCGUUUCCGCGUUUCAGGCGGCGCGCUUGAUGAGGUGCUCCGGGCUCAUAUGCCACGGCUUCCGGAGGAAGUGGAGGUGGAGGAGGGAGCGGUUGUGCCGGAGGAGCAGGUGAGAGGCAGCCAUCAGCCAGCAGAGGGUAGGGGUUUCUGCAGAGCCAAAGCAACCUGCGCAUGUCAAACCGUCGGCAGAGGUAGGGAGGUCAUAUAUAUGGGGGCAUCGCACAGCGUUUAAGCCAGGGCAAUGCGCGCCAUGUGAGCCCGGUGAGUAGCCGGCCGGGUUUCUUGCUCAAGGCCCGUACGGUAACCCAAAUUAUGUUUGCCGGGGUUCGACUAUCUAUCUGCUGUGAUGACCGCCGUGCGUGCACACUUGGCUGCUGUGGCUCGGUUUUUUUGGGAGGAUCAGCUAGCUGGGCGUGCAUGCUGGGCAGGGCUCCUAUCUUAAUGUCUCCAGACAUUAAUCGGCCAUUUUGGCCGUUUCCUAGACAUUCCUCCCGGGGGCUAAUGUCUGAGGUGAGACUUUGUUGGCCCGGGUUUAUUUGGGGCGGGUUUUGUCCGAAUUCCUAUGGAGAAGCCCCCAAACCGCCUUGUGCCCAGACAAAAGACGGCGGGCAUCCGGCCGUUUUUGUCUGGAGCCAGACAUCACCCCGAAAACAAGAUACGACCCCUGAUGCUGGGUCAUCCACCUUACAGCAUAUAUUUACAAGCAAGGUUCAAUCCGCCCUGAUUUGACACUCACAGCCUUGCUCAAGCCUCCAUCGAUCGGUCUUGACACACAGACAAGCUUUUCUAGAGCCUUGCUCUGUUCGCUCUUACGCAAAGCAUCUAGCAUCAGCUCUGCACAACAACCUACACCUGCAACACGGACAGCAUGUAUGACGCUUGACAGUACGCGGGGCUUGAUUUGUGCGCACGUAGUUGCCCAGCCACAUGCAUUCCGUACAUACAUCCGUCAGCUAGCGGCACACAAGUACUCGAUGCUCGAUCACAACAAACUCUCAGCAGUUGCUGUCGCGCGCGCCUCUUACUGAAUCCCUUCGUUCUCCCUUCAUAUCGCAGCUGAUGGCCCUGGGCAGCGCGGACUUUAUGCUUAACUCCUUUCCCGACGUCAGGAUGGGGGACGACGGCGGCACCAGCGUGGACGGCUGCAGCAGCGGCACCACCGCCUGGCUCGCCGCUAUGCAGCAGCAGCAACAACAACAACAGCAGCAGCGGCAGCCAGCACCAGCCACGGCGCCGCCAGCCGAGGACGCGCCGGUGGAGAGCGCGCACGCCGCAUCUGCUGACGCAGCGGCGACGGCCAUGGCCAGUGGGGAUUGCCAGCGCGCUGCCGCCUCCUUGGUGCCGCCAUCGCAGCAGCCGCAGCAGCCCCAGCCCAUGACACUGGCGGUGAACAGCAGGGCUCGCCGGCCCGGCAUCCUCUCGCUCGUCGCUGGCAGUGUGGUUGGCAACAGGGUUUCGUCAGACGCCUCCGCUCACGUGGUCUCCACCACACCGACAGCAGCAUUUACAACCCCUCAAGGCGCACAGCCGCAGGCCGCCGGGCAAGCCCUACAGCAGGCGGCAGUGCCAGCGUCGGAUUCGGCUGUCAGCACCGUUGCUGUCGCCAGCAGCGCGGAUGGUAACGGCGCCUUGCCUCCUGGCGUGAUGGUCAACAUAUCGGUCCGCUCAACCGAGUGGCUACGUGUGCCGGAUCGGUGGGGCCUGCCGACGCCCGCAGAGGUGGUGGCGGCGGCCGCCGGGGCCGCCGCAGCCGGGGCGUCACAAGCGGGCGACUUCUCGGCCCACCCGAAAAUCCCUAUGAGCUGGCUAUUCUGCGGCCGUGGUGCACACAGCAUCUCCGACCCCGUGGCUCUCCCCGCCGUGCAGCAGGCGGCUGUGGCGGCGGCCGCCGGGGCCGCAGCAGCAGCACACGCUGCCGCCGCUGCUGUGCGCGCCGCUGCUGCCGCGGCCGCAGACACCGAAGCCGCCGCCAGGGCGGAGGGCGGCGGCGCCUGUUCGCCCGACGCCGACGGCGUGCUCGCCGCGCGCCGCGCCUCAUCCACCGCGGCGUUUCAGCAGCUGCAGCCGGCCCUUCGACUGCCGCACUCCUCCAUCCCGCAACUGCCGGCGGUCGCUGAAGGACUGCUGCUGCCGCCGCCGCCGCUAGCGGAUGCCCCCGCCGCCGCCCCCGCAGGCAACGGCCGAGGCCAUGGUCACAGCGAGCACGACGCCAUGCUCUCCACUGGGCCUCUCCCUGACGAUGAGUUGCUGAGUGCGUGGGAUGACGACUGGGGUCCGAUGGUGCCGCCGGCGGGGGCGGCAGCGCGGCUACCGCCGGUCGACCGUGGACUGCUGCGCGGUCUGAGCCCCUGGUCGGCGGCCGAGGCAGAGCUGGAGGCAGUCGCGGUCGGCCACCUGCUGGCGCCGCUGCCGCCACUGGCGUGCCUGCAGACACACAUGCAGCAGCCGCAAGGCGGCAACGGCGGCGCGGCGGCGGGCACCCGCCGCGCGGAGGCCGCGGCGGCCGGCGCUCGCACGUCCAUCAAUGCUCCUCCUGCCGACGGCGCGCGCGUGCGCAGCAGCACCAGGAGUGCCAGCCGCAACGCCGCGGCCGGCGCGCAGCUGGCGGCAGCAUCCGCGGGCGCCAAGACGGCCGCUGGCGGCGCGGCUGGCGGGCCUCACGCUCGCGCCUACUCCCCUUUCGCCGCUGUUACGGACUCUACCGGUGCCGCCGACGCGGUAGCCGCAUCGGCGCCGCCGGUCGCCAGCGGAGCCGCCAGUGACGGCGCCGCCUUGGACCAACGCACCGGCAGCAGCGCCCUGGCAGCCUCGCCCGCCACCGCCACGGCCGCCGCCAUCCUCCGCACGCAGUCGCUUAACCUCGAGCCACUGGAGCCGCUGCCGCAACUGCCCCUGCUGGAGGAGGUGCACACCGCCUUCUGCGCCGGCGGCAGCGGCGGCGGCGCCGACGGCGUCGAUGACAUGUUUUUCGAAGCGGCGGCAGCGGCCGCCGCGGCCGCGGCUGCCGCCGCCAUCACCAUUAGCGCCUCGCCCUUCUCAGCUGCCGCCGCUGGCGCUGGGCUCAGGAUGGACGCGGCGGCGGACAGUGCCGCCUUUGCCCUGCUGACGGCGUCCGGUCGAGGCGUGGGCAGUGGCUUUGGUGCUCCAGGCUCGCGCCAGUAUGCCUCGGCCGACGACAUGGUGAACCUGCUGGCGUGCUUCGCACGGUCCGACAGCGGCGUCGACAUGGCAACACAGCUGCAGGUGCAGCAGCAGGAGGCGCCGGUUGCGCGCAUGCAACAUGUGCCGCUCUCGUUCAGCAACGUCAUCCCUGACGGCGGCUCGGCACACAUGGUUCCGAGCUUCGCUGCUGGCGAGGGCGAAAGCAUGGCCGCAGCCAUGGCCGGGCCUAGGCCGGUGUCGCCGCAGGCAGCAGGCGUGGCGGCAGUGGCCGCGGCGGCGGCGGCCAUGCUGUCACCGGCACCGCCACUGCUGACAGUGGGGCAGCAGCAGCCGGGGCCUACUGAGCUGAUUCCGGUGCGCAGCGCGGUGCGGGCGCGCGGCAGCCACGCGGGCCACCCAGCAGGGGCUGCUGCUGUCGACCUGCGCCAGGGCCUUCCCGACCUCGGCGCUGGUGCUGGUGCCGGCGCCGAGCCCCCCGCAGCAGCAGACGUCGCUCCCGCCACCCGCCUGCUGUCGGGCCGCCAGCACCCCGUCUGUUGCUGGCCACAGCCGCUCGCUGCUGCUGUUGUAGGCACUGGCGCCGGCACCGCUGCCGAGCGGCCGCCGAGCGCAGGCAUGUCCUUUGGCGGCUAUGGCAUUGACGGCAACGACGACGAUGACUCGCCGGUAGAGGGUCACUUGGAGGCGCUGGCAGCAGCCGCGCCCACUGGCAACAACAGCCAGCGCACGUCGGUCACCAUGAUCGACGCCUUUGACGUGGUGAGCUGCUGAUUGUUUUCGUCAUGUGUGGGUACCGUGUUCCAUUUUUCGUUGUUUUGCUGAUUCGGGGCGUAGAAACCCCGGCCUAUAGCCUUUACCAUUGGCAGUGCUUUGAUGAUGAGGAGUGACCGCUUCGGCAGGGCUUUGUACAUAUAUACAGGCAGGGGCGGGCAGGAGCUGGGAGUAGCUAACCGCUCAAGGACUGGCCCUCCAUUGAACCGGGAUUUGUUGCAGUAUUUUGACUUCGACGUGCAACCCAUUCCCUGCGUGCAACAGCUCACAAGCAUGGAGCGAAUCAAGACGCUUCAAAUCGAGCCGCCGCAUGCCGCGCCCGCCCAGCACCACGACAACGAGGCGCCCCCGCACGCAACCGUCGCCGCCACCGCUGCCUGCUGCCCCAAGCCCGCCGAGCUGCUGCAUACCGACGGCCAGCACCACACCGGAGCACACCUGCAGCAGCUGCAGCUGCCGCAGCACGCAAGGCUUACAAGGCUGUCUGCACCAGAUUUCUUCGCGGAUGCACCGCACGCAGCCGCCGCCACGCACUUUGGCGCCGUCAGCAUUGCCGGCGCCGUCGCCAGCGUCACUGCAGCCGACGCCUGCCCCUCCUCCAACAGCGCGCCUCUCCCCUGCUUUGCCCUGGGCUCAGGCAUGGUGGAUUUCCUCGCUCCGCCCACCGGCUUGACAGGCGAUGGCGCCGCCGCAGCCGCAGGCAUUGCUUGGGCCUUGCAGCAGGCGGCCCGCAGCAGCUAUGACGGCGGCAGCCACGUCCCGUACCCGCACCCGUACGCACAACAGCAGGCACGGAUGCACGUCAGCGGUGCAGGCACCAUCACCGGCUCCGCGCCCUCCACGUGUGCAGCCUACGGCCUCGCUGACUCGCUCGUGCCCACCGCCACACGUGCAGCGUCAGCCACCCCCGGCGAUAUUACCUUCAACGGGGGUGUGGUGGACGACGUGCGCCAGCUGUGCCAGCCGCUGCAGCUGUUCGCGGGACUGGAUCCCGCGGGCCUCAUUCCGGAGCUGCAAUACCAGCAGCACCUGCACCAGCACCAGCAUCAAGCGGACGGGACGACCGCCAGCGCGCCCGCCGUGAUCAGCGUCGCCCGGAAGCGUCAGCAGCACCAGCACCAGCAGCACCAACAGCAGCAGCGCCAGCAGCACCAGCACCAACAGCAGCACCAGCACCAGCACCAACAGCAGGCGCCUGGGCUGGUGAGGCUGCUGUCCGGCACCAUGAUGCACGCCGGGGUGCCCCGCCAGCAGCAGCAGCAGCAGCAGGGCUCGGCCGCCUCCGCAGGAGGAGCGGCAGCUGCUGCAGCGGCCGCGCCGCCGCCGCCGCUGGCUGCAGUUCGGGUCAAGGUGGAGGUCGCCGCGGAAGAGGGUGGCGCGCCUGGCCCGGUGCGGCAGCAGCCGCUGCGUGCCGCGCAGGCGCAGGCGCAGGCACUGGCGCUCGUGGUGAAGCUGGAGCAGCAGCAGGCAGCAGAGGAGCACAUCGACGUACUGCUGCUGGGUGUGCCGCAGCAGGAGCGCCGCCGCCGCCUGCCGCAUGACGACGACGCGGACCGCGACUACGUGUGCAGCGAGGGCGAGGGCGAGCAGGCCGCGGCCGAGCGGGGCGAUGUGGACGACGUGGACGACGAGGGCGAGGCGGGCGGUGCUGGGCGCAAGAAGAAGCAAGGCGGCGGCGGUGGCAGGGGCUCCGCCGCCGGGCUCGGCGCCGCCCGCGCCAAGGGCAAAGCCGCCAAGGGCAGGGCCAGCUCGGCCACCGGCUCUCCGGCGCACAAGGGCAAGCGCAACGGCGGCGGCCCGGGCAAGGCGGCCCAGGCGCGCGCCAAGGCGCAGGUGGCUGUGGAGUGGCCGGUGGGGCUGCAGGCGGAGCCUGCCGCCGCCGCUCAGGACUACGAGGCCGCGGGCGGCAGCGGGGGUGGCGGCGGCGGAGAGCUGGAGGCGCGCAGCCGCCAGGUGACCCUGGCCGACCUGAAGCUGGUGAGAAGUGCGUGGAGGCGUGUGUGCGUGUGUGUGUGUGCCAAGUGCGUAUAUUCGCCCGGUGUGUGCAUGCGUGUAAUGUGGCCUUGUGUGGAUGCGACCACGUUGGCGGCGGCGCCAGGGGACUGCGAACCUGCCCAGAUUGACCGCGUGCUAGCACAUGACCACGCAUCAUAAAUACCAACUGGACUGUUUCAUGACGUGCCUCUGACAAUGCCUGCCUAUCUAACACGAUCGCACUCCAAUGUUCAUGACACAAACAGUACUAUGAAUCGCCCAUCAAGUCCGCCUCCAAGGCGCUCGGCUUCAGCCUGUCGUGCUUCAAGAAGCUCUGCCGCCGCCUUGGUGUGCCGCGAUGGCCCGCGCGCAAGCUUCUGUGCCUCAAGAAGAUGCGCGACGCCCUGCGGGCGGCGGGCAGCGACUGCGGCGGCCGCGGCAGCAGCAUCGACUCCGAGAUUAGCGCAGAAGAGCGCGAGCGACUGCUGGAGCGAGUCAAGGUGAAUGCGGGUGCCAUUGGGCAUGUGGUUGGGUAGGGAUGCAGAGGAGAAAGAUGAGGGGGCGCAGAUGGGUGUGCGGCACGGUAGGGGGCCUGGCGGGCGUGCGAGCGUUGCUACCCGGUUGGGUGCCCAAAACCAUUGGACCAAAACCAUGCCUGCCAGGCUACGUGUUGAGGUGCUGGGGGCCAAAUCCAAGCCUUGUAUUUGUGGGCCGGUGAACGCCGAGGUGGCCGUUUUUCGCAGUAGGAAGACCGCCUAAACCGGCUCGCAGAAAGUUACACGCGAGCGGCAAAAGGUUACCAGACAACAAAACCCCCAACCCCCCAUUCCCGAAUCCCUUGCCUGCCGUCCCGCCCGCAGCUCAACAUAGCCGAGAUCUACGACAACCCCGACACCCCGAUGUACGGCGAGUUCACACGCGUACGGCACCUGCAAUACAAGAGCCGUACCACGGUGCGCCGCAAGGCGGAGAGCAGCGCCCAGGCGGCUGGUGGCGGUGUGGCGAAGCGCCAGGGCUGGCGCGAAUGCUACUCGCUCGGUGCCGACGACAGCACGAGUGAGGGGGAGGCGGAGGUGGAGGACGAUGUGGAGGACGAGGAGCAGGUGGAGGAGAGCGAUGGCCCUAUGUCUGCCGUUUGACCCUCCACGCGUCAUGCAUGGACGCGGCGGAAGGGCUUUCCUUCCCGCCCCGCCUGCUGGGCUCCACAGUCCUCGGCAACGACGCGCCUGCCGCUGCACCAAUGUGUACGGUGACUAAUUGACUAAUUUAUCAUGUAUAUAACCCGCCGUGAUGUACGCCCGGUGACCGGGAGCCGUGGGUGUGGUGCGGCUGCUGUGGCGGCGGCGGAGCAGCAGGACAGGCAGCGGGAGCAGCGGUGUGCGGGGACGGGUGGGGCGACUUUGCGAAAGGGACGACCAGACAGACUGGCUGCUCAAAAGAAAUUACUGGUGCUAGAUUGCUCAAGAAACAAACGAUGCCGAAACGUAUGUACUCAGCUGGCGCAACACCGCCAGUGGAAUAAUGAGGGGUGGAGGUCGUUCGGCUUCCGGCACCCAAGGGUGGAAAUGGAAAGUCUUGCUCGCAGGGAAUCUUAGCAGCAGGCUAGCUAGAGCUAUGUUCGCGUGCACAUGUCUGGUGUGGGAGAGAUUGAGAUUGGGAGGAAGUUGUGCACGGAGGACAAUGUGUGUGUUUUGUUCUCCGGCCGCGUCGCCGUGCUUCUCACUGCGCAUUCAGCGCAUUGCAAAGUGGGCAGGCAAACUUCUUUGCUUUGAUGAAGGAGUGAUGCGGUGCCCCGUUGUGUUGGCGCACGCAGGGCCGCUUUGCAUAGAAAUUGUAGAGUAGAGGCGUGGAUGUUGCGCGCGUUCGUGUGCGCGCGCAAGCGAAACUUCAUGCACAAUUGAUACGUGGCACAGCCGGCAUGUAGGGCCAGUAGGCACUUAGCUCCUGUCACCAAGAGGCACCGCCCGGCCCAUGCUUGGGCUGGGGCACUGAACCAUUGAUAGCCAUUCAAGUGGAGAAGAGAUUCACGAAUGAAGAGUGAGAAAGCGAUGCAGAACGGAGUACACUGGCCCGGUUUCAGAGGCUCCAGAGAUGGUGUUUGCUUGGGCCUGAGUAUGCCGGUCAGAGACUCGGAGAUAGAGUCAGAGACUCGGAGACUGAGUUAGAAUGGUCUGCAGCAACGCGGGUGGCUUAGAUUCUUAUGAUGACCGAUGAGUCGCUGGGUAGCGGCUGUGUGGUCGUGACUGGGGAGGGACACAGCAGGCCCAAGCUGAGGCGCCCCCACGUGUAGCGCCCCAUACUAUUGUUUUGCGAUCGGAUAGUUUGUCAAGUUGUAUGGUGAAGGUUUGUGAAAUUCAAACGUGCACUGGGCUAGACUUGAUGGUCGUCGUGGCGGGAUUUGCUCCGCCAUAACAUGCCAAGCGCUGAAUUCAACGUGACUGCGUUUGCCUUCGCUUGGGCUUGAGCUCCCAGGAGGACUGAUGGUACCUGCGGUAUGUUGUGUUGUGUCGUGGGCAUGGAGACCAUAAGCUCUGCUAACCAUAGGCGUUGUCAGGCAGGCUCGAAACUGAUGAUGUUUUGGGGGCAGACGACACUGAAACCUGAAUGUAUGGCGUUCAAGGUCGGCUGUCACAUAUCCGUGCGUAGCCACACAGGUGGACCACCUAGGAUGCGCCUUCACAUGGGUACCGUCAUUCGCGAGGUGGAUGGGCCACGAGGUGCUAGCUGCUCACUGAGGGGCGCACGGGGUUUGUGUCGAUCAAGGUGGCGUCCGUGCAUUCAUGUUUUUUCCGCGCUGAAAUGAGCAAGUUUGGAUGCUUUUGCAGUGGGUUUGGAAGCGUAUCAUAUAAUGGUAUUCUGUGGGGAUUAGUUUCAGGUAGUAUCGGCUUCUGGUGGAGAUUUUGGGGAGCGGUGACAGCGAGCGGGCUGGGGUACUGUGGCGGGGCUGUGGCGUGGCUGUGGCCAAAUGCUCCCUUGUGACAAACAGAGACGUUUGGAGUCGUGUGGGCGCCGCAAAUACACAUUUGCGGUGUGAUUGGUGUAGCUGCAAUGGGUUGUGGUGGGAGGCGAGAUGGACGCAACGGGAGGAGGAAGAGCAGAAGUAAGUAAUAGCGCCCAGGGGCGCCGUAGACUGAAGACGUGGUAGACACUAGUGAUGGAGAUGGGAGAAUGGGGGAGAUGGUAAAUGUGGGAUGGGUGAUCUGCCGACCUCACCGUUUGGGGGUCAGCCUGGUGCGGUUGGUGUGGCGGCUUGCCAGACGAGUAACGGUAUAUAGCGAUUACGGGACAUGGCGGGGGUAACUAGUAUGUGAAAUGUACGUCUUUGCGCACUGGGCCUGCGCGCCGUGCGACUGGGCUGCGCUGGCGGUGGCCCGUGUGCUCGGCUCCGUAGCUGCGAGCGACCGGUCGACUGCUCUUCGCAAACUGGCACUUGUGCAUACCGUAUGCACGCAAGCCAUGUCGUGUGCUAUGUUAUGCUGAGGGAACGCUGCUGCCAGGUUGGCAAGCAUGCAAUCUCCGCCAGUGCACCGGCUGCGGAUAUUUUGAUGUGCUGUACAGGCAUGUGCGUCCUAAGCAGAUGCCGGUUGCAGCAAGGCCUGGACCGAAACGCAUGCUUUGCCAUGAUUGUCCUUUGUGGUGGGAGGUUCCGCGGGUAUGGCAGGUAGUAAACCGCAUACCGUAGUAUGCUGGACCUUUUUGUGCAGGGGGCUGCGCGAUAGGAGCGCACGGUUUUUGCUUCUUGAAUACGCGAGCACCUGUGUGUGUUGGAGGUCACGGGAGAAGCAGGAGCACGCAGGACAGUGUGAGCGGUUUUGGUUUGUGUACGAGUCGCCUGUGCAGCUGGAGCACUUGACCUACCGUGCUCAGUCGACUCCAAUUUACACAUGGCUGUGAUGACAAUGAUGGAAUGAUGGUGGGGGGCUGUUGUUGUCUGCACGUGUUUGAAGUACAAAUACGGCUAUGAUGAGAAGCGGGUACAGGAAGAACCUCGGUUGUGUUUGGUGUGGCAGCCUGGCAGAGAUCCAAGGUAUGAAGCAAUGUGGUACAUGCUCACGCUUAGUGGGAGCACUGGUACUAGCAGCAGAAGCGGCGGUAAACGGGGGUGAUAAUAAUUUAUGAGUGGCUAAACUAAAUCGCGUGAAAGAUGGGUUGGGUUGCGGUUGUGUGUCCGGCGCAAUCAGAAUCUCAAUGCGCCUAACCAACUACACGUAGCAAACAUCUUGGCAAACAUACCAUAAUUUCCUUCAGGGCCUCGCUGUGCUUCUGUGGUGAAAUCCCAUCCUGUCCUCCACCGCCUGUGCGCCCCCCGUACCGCUUUUCCAAACAUCCUUGCACCCCCCCCCCCCCCCCGCACGCCAACGCUCUUUGAAUAUUAGUUUUGGGGUCUAUUGCCCAGGAGAUGUGACGUAGUACUGGAUGUCAGCUUAAAGCGGUCUAGAGAAGAGGAGAGUCUGUGGCCGGAUGCUUGAAUCGGGUAUUUUGGCGGAUGUGAAACACAUUGCUUCGGCGUGUGGCGGUGUGGGGACGCGGCGUUGGCGAGAGCGUCGGGUGGGAGAGCCACGAAUGCCCCAAUACCGUGGGGGCACUGUAACAAAGGGCGGCUCAGACCUCAGUUCCCUGGAUCCUGGACCAUGAGGUCCUGUUAAAAGAGCAGGUGAGUCAGGCUUACACAGAUACGGUACACUCACUACCGUAUACUGCUGGGCGGGUAUGGUGGCCAAUUGAUGACAAGUUGACCCCCGAGCAAAGCGACAUCCGUUCACCAAUUUCCGCUGCGGGUCGUGCAGCCUUUACAGCCUCCCCGGGUUACAACUCCAUCCCCAACUCAGCCACCGACACCGACCGAGUAACUCCGGCGUUCAACCAGCCGCGCACUCCUGCCCUGCCGUUGCAAUUCUUAGCCAUCCCCUGUGCCGCCUGCUGGGGCCUGGGAAUCAGCUGCACCCUGCGGGAAUUCACCAACCUGCCUUAACACUGUCCCAUCGCACACUCACCCACCGACUCAGCCACCGACCCAGCCUCAGCGACUCAGCCACGACUCGCCACCGACUCAGUCCGUCCGCCAUUUGUCAAAUGGGGAUGGGUGGGGUCUCGAGCAGCCAGCAAGCAGCCAUGCUCGCGCCCGCUCCCGUCUUAGUUGUGGGCUAGAAGCCGCCGUGCACGUCGUCUCCCGCGGCAGAUUGGGCCUCCAUGCCCCUUGAGCGUCCUUGUCAGUGCACUAUGGCCGUCCGACCGACAUUCGAGGCUCUCUCGCCAUCGCCGCGUUCCCACAGAGCAAUGUGUCUCUGGUCUACGCCUAGCACGUGCGAUAACCGGAACGCUGCACGAAGGCCAGCUUGCCUUUGCAGAUCGGUAUCGCCCACUCCUGUUUCCCUUGCACGGCGUAUGUCCUCCCUCGCAUGCUACUCUCCUUGUGUCUCGCAGCCUCACCCGAACGAAACACAACCCCUGCCGUCAUACCAGGCAUGGCAAGAUGGCCCGAAACCUCAAGUUGUAAACAAGCUCGCUAUACAUCUAUGGAAUUUCUCUUCUCCUUGUCAAGUUGCGUCUCCUGCUGCAUCAUCAAUCCUGCCCCAGCGCACGGCAGCGUGUGCACGCGUGCCAAACACACAUCGCCUGCGCCCCCGCCCUCCGAUGUCAGCCAUGUGGAUGCUUUGCACUCAUCACCCACCACGACCGACUAGCACCCGGCACUCCGUCCCCGCCAGCCUCUACUCCGGUUGCUCGCCGCGUUUCAUCCUCUUAUUUGUACCCCACCCCAUUAGCCCACAUGCGGUGCCGCGUCACUGCUGCGCAUGUAAAGCUUCCAAAGCUCCAGAACCUUUUAAACACGUGCCUCCAGCGCAAGUCGCUCCGGCGUGUGAAGUUCUUCCCUCCAGUGCACCGCACACAUGUGUGGGCUCGGCUAGUAGUCGCGUACACUGUUAGGAUGUUACUUCUUAACCUCGUCCUACUGAGCCGAGACGCAAGGCCUGUGCCCUCCACCGCCUGUGCCCGCCCGCACGCAACCACUACAAUUUGCCCGUCGCCCGCCACUGUCAUAUUGCACCAUUGUCUUGCACCCUUGCCGUCUCAUCACAAUCCCUGUAAACUGUUAACACAUUCGCUCUCUUACCAGCCCGUAAAGCCCGGCAGUCCGCCCGGUGGCCGCUGCUGGUGUUGUUGCUGCUGCGGCCAACCGCCCAAACCACCCCCCGCACCGAAGCCGUUGAAGCCCGGCGGCGGCUGGCGCGGCACGGCGCCUGCUGUCGGGUCUGACGACAUGGGUGACAGUGACGAGCUGCCGCCGCCCGGCCCCGGCGCCGCAGAGCCCCAUGUCUCCGAAAUGGCACCCGGCAAGGCCCCGCUGCCGCCCCCGCCACCUACACCGCGAUCACCACCCCCUAGCCCGUACCCCAGCCCCAGACCGCCCUGCGGCAGACCCGCGAUGCCCGGCGGAGCUGAGGCCGCGGUGGCGAAGCCCGAGUGCGCGAAGGCGGCACCCUGCGACCCCUGCAACCCCUGCAGACCGCCGCCAUGCAGUCCACUACCGCCGCUGCCGUUGGCGCUCUGCAGCAGCGGCCCCAACAAGCCCUGCUGCUGCUGGUGGUGCUGCUGGUGGUGCUGCUGCUGUUGGCCGCCGCCUAGAAACUGGCCCUGCUGCCCGUGGCCCUGCCCUUGGCCGUGCUGCUGCUGCUGCUGCUGCUGCGCGUUGUUGAAGCCCGGAGGCCCGAACCCGCCCAGCCGCUGCUCCCGGGGGGCCUCCGAGGCGAUGGGGCCCGGCGGGGCUUUGGACACGCCGUCCUCACUGAGGCCCAGGUGCCGCAGCAGGUUGAGCAGGUCGCCGGCGGUGGCGGGGCGGUCCACGUCGUCUUCAUGGAACAUGCUCAACAUGCCGCCGCCGCCACCGCCGCCGCCGCCGAUGUCGCCCACGUGGCUGUGGCUGCCAGCGCCAGCGGGCCCCAGCCCCGCUCCGCCCGCGCCAGCGAUGGAGCUGAAAGGCGGCGCCUGGGGCUGUUGCUGCUGUUGCUGCUGCUGCUGGGGGAAGCCGUUUGCAAACAGGAAGGGUUGCUGCUGCUGUUGCUGCUGCUGUUGCUGCUGCUGUUGCUGCGGCUGCGGUGGCGGCUGAUGCUGCAUCCCAGCGAACAGGUUGAAGCCGUAGCUCGACGGCGGCUCGGGCGCGAGUGCCUGCUGCUGGUGUGUGUGCUGGCCGCCUCCACUGCCGCCGCUAGGCAGGAGCCCGACACGCGCCAUGGCCGCGGCCGCCGCCUGCCGCGCCGUCUCCGCGCGCUCGUUUGCCAGGUCCCGCGCCGGUGCGGCGCGCAGCGCCGCCAGCAGCGCCUGCCCCGCCGCAUUUCCGCCCGGCGCGGCCACACCGGGGCCCGGGCCGCUGCCGCCGCCCAGCCCUUGCAGGCCGCCAUUGAAAAGCGAGUUCAUCGCGCCUGCCGCGCCGCCGCCGCCACCGCCUGCUGCUGCUGCCGCUGCCGCCUCUCGUGCCGACUCCUUGCCGUCCGUGCUGGGCUGCAGCAGCGCCAGCAGCUGCCGUGUGUCCAUCCCGUUCAGGCCGCUGUAGCCCCCCGGGCCGCCGCCAGGGCCACCCAGGCCGCCUGGGCCGCCGCCGAGGUAGCCGCCACCCGGCAGCGCGCCUGGCGGCGGCGGCGGUGGCCCGCCGUGGUGCCCGAACGGCUGAGACCGGUAGGCGCCGAGGCCCGGUGGCCCCGGCGGCACCUGCGGCGGCCCCUGCUGCUGCGGGAAGCCGAACUGCUGGAGCAUGUGCGUCGGGCCGUUGCGCUGGGGCGGCGGCGGCGGCUGGUGCGGGUGCGGCGGCGGCGCCCGGUUGAACGGCCCUGGCGGCCCCUGCGGCGCCUGCUGCUGGGGGGGCGGCGGCGGCGGCUGCGGUGGGCGCAGCUGCGGCGGCGGCGCGGUGAGGCGGUGCCAGCCGUGCGGCGGCCGGGCGCGGUUGAAGUGGUGGUGGUGGCGCCACUCUUCCAGAGUCAUGAUGGGUGAGCCGCACCGCGUCGCGUCAAUUAGCGCCCUGCGAGGCGUUGGUAACGAAACGCGAACGUGUAAGAGGUGUAUGGUCCACAAGGGCGUAAAUACGUACAGCCGGCGAGGGCGCGGCAGUGUGACGGCGCCAAGUGUUUCAUACAGGACACGAGGUGGAGGUCCACUUGGCUUGAAACGCACCGGAACGCGCGCGCGUCGGCUUCAAACUCGCCGCCACCGGUGCCGUUCGGGUCGGUGCCGUUGGUGGCGGCGCCGCUACCGCUCCGGCGCGCCGCCGCCAGCUUCUCCAGGCGCUGCUGGCACUCCGGCGGGAUUGCCGCGUUGGCGGGCAGCUGCUGAGGAUGGGCGGGGAGGGGCGGGGAGGGAGGUGGUUACAGGGUGAAGCGGUAUUUGUAAAAGGUGCCAGGAAAGGGAUGAGAGGGCGGCGCACGCGCCUUGUGGGCUUUUGCGGGCGCAAGGCGUGCUGGCGUAGCGCGGUGGGCAGCAGCACCACUACGGAGUACGGGCACAGCAGCCCCGCGGCACACACCUUGGCCCCAGCCAAAACCACAGAGCCAUACAAGACUGGCUGCAUGGCACAAUUGCGCCACGCACCGUGGCUCGCGGUGUCAACGGUGCCAACGACCACAGCACGCCCAGCCCUCCACACACGUGCCCACCACCCUCCACGCGUGGGCCCCCUCCCUCCCUCCCUCCCUCCCUCCCUUCCCCUCCCCUCCCCACCUGCAGUUUGGCCAGCCCCACGUACGGCAGGGCGUCCGCGCCGAACAGCCACGUCAGCGCCCGCGCCGCGUCUGCAGCAGGCAGUGUGGGCAGCGUGGGCAGGCGGUGUGGGCAAGCAGUGUGGGCAGACAGGCAGUGCAGGCCCAUCGGCAGGCAGAGUGGCACAACAAGGUCAGCGCAUGGGACAUAGAUCGGCGAGCGUCAGCAGAGCGGGUGAACACUCGUUUCUUCUCGGCUGCACACCGGCAAACAAGCUUGCAGAUAGGCAGGUAGGCCGACAAGUGAAGCAGACACGCAGGAAGGCCAGCGCGGUGGGGCGCUGAAUUGGGUUGGGCCACAACGCAGCUGUCGCCGCCGCAGCAGCUCGCCCCUCACCCGCGGUGGUGGCGACGCCUCUCAGCAGGUGCACCGAGUGGCCGAACACCCAGGCGAUGUAGGGCAGCGUGUUCUCGUUGCGGUCCUGGAUAGGGGUUACAUUCAUGAUUAAUUAAGAAGUGAAGUGGGGGGUGGGGGAAGAGGGGCGGGGAGGGGGGCGGUAUAUUCAUGACUAGGUAAGGAAGUGGUAGACGGCAGCCGGGGGGGAGGGGCGGGAGAUACCCAGGGGCGGAGUGGAAGAAGUGCGUAGGCGGACUUGACGGCGUGGGGAGGGGUUACAUUCAUGAUUAGUUAAGGAAGUGGUAGACGGGAGGGGUGCGGAACUGUCGGGAACGGUGACCAGCAGAGGAAGGCAAGACGCAGGGCGAGGGGGUGCCAACAGCUGACACGGCUGGAACCGGGAAGAAGUUGCAAGUGCGGUACACCGUGCACUUUGCCAGCCCCGCCCCCUACUGCGCUAGCACCGUAUACUUUGGCUUAGCUUUGGCUGAUACUUUACCCCCCCCCCCAGCGCAUCCUGACACACGGUCCCAUAACACGGCCCCAAGCUCCCCAGCCCCCGGCCCCCAGCCCCCAGGGCCCGGGUCUCCAAGGACCCCGGGCCUCGAAGGACCCCACAGCCACACACGGCUCGGCACGCACCCGUAUCCCCACGCUGCGCGCGGUGUUGUCGUGGCAGUCGAACGGCUCCUCUACCGCCGCCACGUAGGCGCGCGGGAAGCGGGCGGUGUAGCCGCGGCCCAGCCAGGGGCUCACACGCCAGUUCCUGGGGGGUAGCGGUUGGGGUGGCAGUUGGGGUGGCGGUUGGGGUGGCGGUUGGGGCGGUGGUUGGGGCGGUGGUUGGAGCGGUGGUUGCGGUGGCGGUUGGGGCUGGAGCUGGUGGCAGUGGUGGUGGCAGAGGGGGGUGGCGGUGGCGGCAGGGGCUUUGCAGGACAGCAACAGGGAGGCUCGGCAGUGGCGCACCGCCUGCCUCUCCCUCAGCCCUGCAUCGCCCUCUGCACCCCCCUCCAGCUUCCCCUGCUGUCCCUUCACCCUCCUCUGCGCUCCCACCCCCACCCUCUCUUUUUAGGUACCUACAACCCCUCAUGAGGUGCCCCCGCACCUGUGCGCCGCGUUGUCUCGCCACUGGCCGGUGAUGGCGGCGAAGGCGCUGAAGAACCACAGCAGCUGGUCCACCAGGCCCGGCUGACAAGGCGAGGAGGAGGCGGAGGAGGAGGCGGAGGAGGCGGAGGAGGGCUCGGACCAGCGCGGGUGCAGCAGCGCCGCCGCGCCCUUGCCCGUGCACCUGGCGCGAAUGGGGUUCGGAGGGCAGGCGUGUGUGUGUGUGUGUCAGGGGAUGACACGAAGAGGCAGAGCCCACACGUAUGCGCGCGCGCGAGUUUGUGUCCAGGAACGAAACGCGCGCGCAGGUGUGCGUACGCGCGUUCACUCACACUCAAGUUCCUGCCACAGUCAGAAUUUCAAAGGCCGUGAACCGCUCAGGGUUGACGGCUCUCUACUUAAACCCCGAAGUACAGACUGCUCCCCAGCAUGCACGCCACGCACUUGGCCCUCGCCACCGCCAGCAUCGCCUCCGGCUGCACGCCCUUGUCCUGCAGCGGCCGGCCCGUGCCCGCGGCCGACAGCGGCGGCUCGGAGUCGUGGAACAGGCGCCACAGCGGCGGCAGCAGCGCGCCCUCGGGGUAGGCCUGGGGGGUGAACACGUGCGUGGGUGGGUGAUAUGAAACGAAACGAAAGCCCGCCGUGUGUGUGUGUGUGUGUGUGUGUGUGUGUGUGUGUGUGUGUGUGUGUGUGUGUGUGUGUGUGUACAGGAUGGACAUACUUUGCUUUGGGACCACACUGUCGCCCCACACUGGACUCCGCCCAUGCGGGUAGCCAGCCGGGUAGCCAGCGAUAGGGGCUCGUCCCCUCCCCCCCCCUCCCCUCCCCUCCCCACNNNNNNNNNNNNNNNNNNNNNNNNNNNNNNNNNNNNNNNNNNNNNNNNNNNNNNNNNNNNNNNNNNNNNNNNNNNNNNNNNNNNNNNNNNNNNNNNNNNNCCCUCCCCUCCCCUCCCCUCCCCUCCCCUCCCCUCCCCUCCCCUCCCCUCCCCUCCCCUCCCCUCCUGCCCCCCGCCCCUCCCCGCGCACCUGCAUGCUGAACAGCGCCAUGAGCGCCAGGCUCCAGCUGUUGAGGGUGCCGCAGUGCGCAGAGUUGAUGUCGUGCGCCUUGGCCCACAGCUUCACCUGCAAAGAGCGGUAGGAUGUUGCGGGUGAGGGGGGCAGGGGGCGGUAGGGCAUGUGUGAGGAGGGCGCUAGAGAGGUGACGAGAGGAGGGACGCGGCGGUGGCACGACGGCCCGAGAUCGGCUCGGAAUGGAGAAAGCCCCCAGGCUUGCGAAGAUACCUCCCAUGACUCAAGGGGCACUGUAACUGUACCUGGGAAUUGGGAGCCCCCGAUGAUCCGUCGAGUAUUGAGACGUAAUUCUUUGGGCUCGGGCACCCCCCCCCCCACACACACACCACUCACCAGGCGCACCAGCGGCGCCAGCCCGGGCUGCAGGCCGUGCAGCAGCCGCAUGACGGCGCCCUUGAAGUCGCAGCCGCGCGUGGUGACGCAGAUGUCGCACUCGAUGCCGGAGGACGACUCCACGAACCUGGUGAGGUGAGGUGAGGUGAGGGGUGGAGCGGCAAAAGGCGGGAUGGGUCGACCAUGUAGGGGCCUGAAGCGCUUGCCAGGACAGAAAUCGUAUACAAGAAGGCCGGACGCAUUCUGCGCGCCGAGCACUUGUGCCGUCCCAAGCGCAGUUCCAGCCUUAUCCAACCAUCAGCCCUCCUACCACCACCCACACCAAGCACGCUCAACCCGCACCAGCAACCCGCUAUUCACCAAGCCCACCCGAUCCACCCGCCCACUUCCCCGCCAGACCACAUCGUGUCCCCUAGCCCGCGCACCCCCCCUCCAAACCCUCUCCUCCUCGCUCUUCUGCAUUGGGUCGCUUUAGUUUGGGCUGGUGGUUAUAACCCCAUCCCCCGCCCCCUGUUCUGGGUUCCAGCUCUCACUUGAUGAUGGGCACACGCGCCUCCAGGAUGCGGGUGACGGGCCCCGCAGUGACGCCGCGCACCUCCAGCUCGUCCGCCAGCCGCCGCAGCAGAGCCGCGAACUGCUCCUCAGACAGGGACUCCUGGCAGACAGAGUGGGGCCGGGGGUUGCAGAGGUUGCAGGGGGUUGGGGGAGGGGGCGGGGUGGGGGCUUGCACGUUGCACGGAUACAAGGUAUGUGAGGGGUACCGGAGUGGAGUGUUGGGCACAUCAGGGACGCGGAAUCUCUGCAGAUGCCGUGUCGCCGCGCCCACAGAGUGGGCCCCAGCGCUUGGCACAGGCGCAUCGUACGGCAGUACACAGUGACUUGCAGUGUUGCCCGGCUGGAUCCCAUCCCGGUCGGGGCCGCUUUCACACGCUUUGCAGGGGCCUCACUGCACCCCUCACCUGCCGCCAAUCCCACACAGGCUGCCGGCAGGGCCGGGAAAGCCCCGCUGGCCGAAGGCCUUUCCGCCCACCCGCCCAGUGGGGUUCUAGCCCUUAUCGCUUGCAUCCUCGCAGCCCUCCCCAGCCUGGCCCAAACCCCUGCCCGCCUCUCCCGACCCACCAGCGGCAGCACCUCGCCGCCCCACGCCCCCGGCGGCAGCUCCACCGCCGGGCCCGGCGCCAGGUGCGCCUCCGCCACGCCGCCCGCCAGCGCCAGAUCCAGAUCCGAGCCGUGGCUGUAGCAGGAGCUCAGGAAGGACCCGUACGGCACCAGGUGCAGAUUCGAAGGCGCUGGGAAGAUGCUGGGCAGCAGCGACCGCAGGCGCUCAAUUGUGGCCUGCCGCGCCACGCCGUCCUCUUGGGAGGGCUCUCGAGCCUGGAGGCGAGCAGAGGCAGAAGUUAAGUGGAAGGUGUCGCGGGAGGAGCCGGGGGCGCGGACAGAAAAGAAGGCCCCAGUGGUUCGUGUCCGUCACGGGUGCUGCGGUAUCCCGCCGGGGAGCUUUCUCCGACUUCACGGAAAUCCCCCCAAAGCACCCCCGCCGCCCCAGGAUCCUUUGCAGGCAUGGUAUACAACGCUCUGGAGCCUCGUGCACCGCGUGGGUGCGUGUGUGCGGCCAAAAGACAUCAGUUCCCGCACCUUGGCCAGCUGCUGCAGGAAGGCCUCCAUAUAUUCCAGCGCAUCUUUUGAGCAUUGCCGAUGCUGUCCCAGGUCGGCAGACCAUGACUUGCUUACUGAAUUCUCCACAGUUUGCCCAGCCCGGCUCCCGUUGCUUCCCCCGGGAAAGGAACCCCCAAGAAGUGGACUACUGCCAAGUGAGUCCACGCUCCCGAGCGGGGGCGUCGCCAUUUGGCCUGCGAUUUCGCGAAGUUUUCAAUCCUCUUCGUGUCAACCAGACGUCCAGAGCGUCCGUGGUUCGUUCAUUAUUUUAGCUGCUACGGUAAAGAUUUUGUGACUGCUCAGGGGCCCGACGCUGAGGAACUCCGGUCGGCUUUCUCCAUGCGUAAGUAUCGAGGCGGGGACCGCCGACCAAG